GAUCCUGGCUCAGAUUGAACGCUGGCGGCAGGCCUAACACAUGCAAGUCGAGCGGAUGAAGAGAGCUUGCUCUCUGAUUCAGCGGCGGACGGGUGAGUAAUGCCUAGGAAUCUGCCUGAUAGUGGGGGACAACGUUUCGAAAGGAACGCUAAUACCGCAUACGUCCUACGGGAGAAAGCAGGGGACCUUCGGCCGUUCGCGGCGUAUCAGAUGAGCCUAGUCGGAGUUAG
rnacentral:rRNA from 1 species